GACGAACGCUGGCGGCGUGCUUAACACAUGCCAGUCGAACGGAAAGGCCCUGCUUUUGUGGGGUGCUCGAGUGGCGAACGGGUGAGUAACACGUGAGUAACCUGCCCUUGACUUUGGGAUAACUUCAGGAAACUGGGGCUAAUACCGGAUAGGAGCUCCUGCUGCAUGGUGGGGGUUGGAAAGUUUCGGCGGUUGGGGAUGGACUCGCGGCUUAUCAGCUUGUUGGUGGGGUAGUGGCUUACCAAGGCUUUGACGGGUAGCCGGCCUGAGAGGGUGACCGGCCACAUUGGGACUGAGAUACGGCCCAGACUCCUACGGGAGGCAGCAGUGGGGAAUAUUGCACAAUGGGCGGAAGCCUGAUGCAGCAACGCCGCGUGCGGGAUACGGCCUUCGGGUUGUAAACCGCUUUCGCCUGUGACGAAGCGUGAGUGACGGUAAUGGGUAAAGAAGCACCGGCUAACUACGUG
rnacentral:rRNA from 1 species